rnacentral:lncRNA from 1 species
GGAGGGGGGACAGCAGGCAUCACCACCGCCCCUUCCACGCCGUCCCGCCUCGAUGUACCGGGAUUCUGUCAAGUGCCUGAGAACAUGUUCAAAAAGCUGCUCUCCAUCUCGACUUUCACGUCUCCCCACCGCUCUCUAGGCUUCGGCUCCCCAAUCAGCCAUCCGCGCUCUCCCCCAGCCUCAAUCAGAAUGGUACGAUCCGGGCGCUGGCCGCACUCCAGGAGUCAGUGCCGGGAGCACGCGAGCCAGGCGAGGAGGGAGUGGGGCGAGGGAAGAGAGGCAAGGUGGGUGGUGAUUGGCUGAGGCCGGUUGCCGGAGCCUGGAGCCUGCGUCUUUUGUCUGCCUUGCUCCUGCGAAGGAGCGGGAGACGGCUGCGCGCCCCAAGCGGGCCAAUCAGGAGACAGCCGGCGCCGGCCGGUAAGGCGGCGAUUGGUCAGAGCCCAGUUACUAAGCGGGACAAAGGCAGAAGGGGAAAAGAAAAGAGGAGGAAAAAAAAGAAAGAAAGAAAGGAAGAAAACGCAAACAGCGGUUACUGACAGGCUGGGCGAGCGCUCGGGGGCUCAAACUGCCUGGAGACAGGCGGGGCUCCUGCUGAGGCUUGGUCCGCCCGGACGAGUAAGGAGAGGAGCCAGGGAGGACCUGCUGGCGUGAGACGCCUCUGCCCGUAGAAGAUACUGGAAGAUCAACUCUAAUUUGUGGCUGCCUUCCCAGCAGUCUCUACGUCAGCAUAUCUGGGAGCCAGAAGCACUCGAGUUUGAUAACUCAAAAGACAGAACAAUCAGUCAAGGGUGGGUUGGUUUAUUUUUGUUCACGGGUGUUCAUGUGCAUUCCCAAACAAAAUGAGGGUGAAGAGAGAGGAAGUGUGGAAAAGAUAAUGGCUUUCAGAUUUCCACAGCACCUUUUGCCUGGACCACUUUUCAGCAUUUAGUGGUGGGGUUUCAGUUUCUAAUACACACAGCAAUCACCCAGGCUUUUCCCACAGCUAAAGCUUUGAGGGAUGAAGUGAAGUCCAAGCACAGUAUAUAAUCAAGUGGUCAAGGCUGACACAUGGAGUAAAGCUGUUAUUCAGUCUUUCCACCUAAAAUUGUAUGACCCAACUCUCCAACUUAAAUAGACCUUUGAAUAUAUCUCCAGAGAAUAAGUGAUGCAAGAGGCAAUGAUGAAUCAAGGGGA